UACGUAGGGGGCAAGCGUUGUCCGGAUUCAUUGGGCGUAAAGAGCGUGUAGGCGGCCAGGUAGGUCGGUUGUGAAAACUGGAGGCUCAACCUUCAGACGUCGACCGAAACCAUCUGGCUAGAGUCCAGGAGAGGAGAGUGGAAUUCCUGGUGUAGCGGUGAAAUGCGCAGAUAUCAGGAAGAACACCCGUGGCGAAAGCGGCUCUCUGGAACGGUACUGACGCUGAGACGCGAAAGCGUGGGGAGCGAACAGG
rnacentral:rRNA from 1 species